rnacentral:lncRNA from 1 species
ACUGUGACCGUCUCUCGAGGCAAAAAUGCAGGUGCCAGUCGCGUGCAGCACCGCAGGUACAGUAAACAGAGUAGGGGGCUCUCCAAACUAGCUACUUUUCCCUCCCCCUACUCACUUCCACUCUAGUUGGCCAUAGGCUACUUUAUGAAAUGUUUCGGGUGGCGAUUUUUGUAUCUAGGCCUACAUGAAAUUCUGUAGCCUUAAUACUAUCUUAAAACUUUUUUUUUCCCCCUAGGAGGAGCAGCUUGAGUCGAGGAGGACAGACAGGCAGUUGCCCAGGCAACCUUAGCCCGCCCCCUGUGCACUUCCCUGCCGGAAUUGGGAAAUAUCAAACUUCGGUGGAAGGCUUAUUUUCCUGUCACCCGUCUAUUACGAGUCCUGAUUUUAUUCGCUGGACGACCAGUCACCACCGAUGUACUACUUGUUAACAGAGUGGCAGCACAGCUUGGCGGUGAUGCAACUUUCAACAUUGAUGGUGCCAUGAACAGUCAAUGCAAGACCAAUUAUGGAAGGGUGGUGGACUGCUGGGAUAAGAAGACAAUGGAGGAAAUUGGGCCAGAAUUUCAGGACCGGAUCAGUGGUUCGUGUGACCACAUCAAAUUGAAAGGUGUACAAAAAUAAGAUUUACGUCACAUGUUUAUAUGUCAGGAUCUGGACUCUCAGAACCCUGCAUCAUACACCUACAGCAUUAAAAGUAAGGAUGAUGAACCAGUUUAGGUUCAGUUUUAGAGCUUUUUGCAGUUAGUAGAAUACUCAAGAUUGUUGUGAUUUCGAAUGCCCAGACUGAAAGUCUUCACAUCUGGGUUAAGAAAUGAAUGAAGAAAGCACUGUCUAGACACGCACCACACCCUGAAGCAUAGUGUUGAUGUAUCUCUUCACAGAUGUAAUUUCAGCAUCUUCCAUGUAAUACGGCUUCCCUCUAUCUGCCUCCACACAUUUGUGUGUGAUCAUUCCAGAGCCUCCUCUAAGUGGGGGAGCAGUUUAUACAUAUUUUAGAAUUGUGGCUAUUAUCUGUUUUGGUCAUUUCAACAUUUUCUCUGUAAGUAAAAGUGUUUACAAUGAGUGAGUCAGAGAGAAAAUGUGUUUGUUUGUGUGUCUCAGAAAAGAGCAAGUGUUUGUUUGUGUGUCUGUCUCUCUGUGUGUGUGUGUGUGUGUGUGUGUGUGUGUGUGUGUGUGUGUGUGUGUGUGUGUGUGUGUGUGUGUGUCUCAGAAAAGAGCAAGUGGGAAAUAAAGGAGGUAAUUAGAGUGAGUACUGUGGAGGA